UGGGGAAUCUUGCGCAAUGGGCGAAAGCCUGACGCAGCCAUGCCGCGUGAAUGAUGAAGGUCUUAGGAUUGUAAAAUUCUUUCACCGGGGACGAUAAUGACGGUACCCGGAGAAAAAGCCCCGGCUAACUUCGUGCCAGCAGCCGCGGUAAUACGAAGGGGGCUAGCGUUGCUCGGAAUUACUGGGCGUAAAGGGCGCGUAGGCGGAUCGUUAAGUCAGAGGUGAAAUCCCAGGGCUCAACCCUGGAACUGCCUUUGAUACUGGCGAUCUUGAGUAUGAGAGAGGUAUGUGGAACUCCGAGUGUAGUGGUGAAAUUCGUAGAUAUUCGGAAGAACACCAGUGGCGAAGGCGACAUACUGGCUCAUUACUGACGCUGAGGCGCGAAAGCGUGGGGAGCAAACAGG
rnacentral:rRNA from 1 species